rnacentral:rRNA from 1 species
CGGAGGAUCCAAGCGUUAUCCGGAAUCAUUGGGUUUAAAGGGUCCGUAGGCGGUUUUAUAAGUCAGUGGUGAAAUCUGGUCGCUCAACGAUCAAACGGCCAUUGAUACUGUAGAACUUGAAUUACUUGGAAGUAACUAGAAUAUGUAGUGUAGCGGUGAAAUGCUUAGAGAUUACAUGGAAUACCAAUUGCGAAGGCAGGUUACUACAAGUGGAUUGACGCUGAUGGACGAAAGCGUGGGGAGCGAACAGGAUUAGAUACCCUGGUAGUCCACGCCGUAAACGAUGGAUACUAGCUGUUCGGAGCAAUCUGAGUGGCUAAGCGAAAGUGAUAAGUAUCCCACCUGGGGAGUACGAACGCAAGUUUG